CCUACGGGUGGCAGCAGUCGAGAAUCAUUCACAAUGGGGGAAACCCUGAUGGUGCGACGCCGCGUGGGGGAAUGAAGGUCUUCGGAUUGUAAACCCCUGUCAUGUGGGAGCAAAUUAAAAAGAUAGUACCUCAAGAGGAAGAGACGGCUAACUCUGUGCCAGCAGCCGCGGUAAUACAGAGGUCUCAAGCGUUGUGCGGAAUCACUGGGCGUAAAGCGUGCGUAGGCUGUUUCGUAAGUCGGGUGUGAAAGGCGCGGGCUCAACCCGCGGACUGCACAUGAGACUGCGAGACUGGAGGACUGGAGAGGGAACCGGAAUUCGCGGUGUAGCAGUGAAAUGCGUAGAUAUC
rnacentral:rRNA from 1 species